GUGUGAAAGAUCAUUAGCAGUCUUCUUCAUAAGGAUGGAAGUGGCCCAGUACAGCACGCAUACGGUUAGGGCACUGUCACCUACUUUGUGGCAUCUAACCAUGUUUGGAU